AGUCGAGCGAACAGAUGAGAAGCUUGCUUCUCUGAUGUUAGCGGCGGACGGGUGAGUAACACGUGGGUAACCUACCUAUAAGACUGGGAUAACUCCGGGAAACCGGGGCUAAUACCGGAUAAUAUUUUGAACCGCAUGGUUCAAUAGUGAAAGACGGUUUCGGCUGUCACUUAUAGAUGGACCCGCGCCGUAUUAGCUAGUUGGUAAGGUAACGGCUUACCAAGGCGACGAUACGUAGCCGACCUGAGAGGGUGAUCGGCCACACUGGAACUGAGACACGGUCCAGACUCCUACGGGAGGCAGCAGUAGGGAAUCUUCCGCAAUGGGCGAAAGCCUGACGGAGCAACGCCGCGUGAGUGAUGAAGGUCUUCGGAUCGUAAAACUCUGUUGUUAGGGAAGAACAAAUUUGUUAGUAACUGAACAAGUCUUGACGGUACCUAACCAGAAAGCCACGGCUAACUACGUGCCAGCAGCCGCGGUAAUACGUAGGUGGCAAGCGUUAUCCGGAAUUAUUGGGCGUAAAGCGCGCGUAGGCGGUUUCUUAAGUCUGAUGUGAAAGCCCACGGCUCAACCGUGGAGGGUCAUUGGAAACUGGGAAACUUGAGUGCAGAAGAGGAGAGUGGAAUUCCAUGUGUAGCGGUGAAAUGCGCAGAGAUAUGGAGGAACACCAGUGGCGAAGGCGGCUCUCUGGUCUGUAACUGACGCUGAUGUGCGAAAGCGUGGGGAUCAAACAGGAUUAGAUACCCUGGUAGUCCACGCCGUAAACGAUGAGUGCUAAGUGUUAGGGGGUUUCCGCCCCUUAGUGCUGCAGCUAACGCAUUAAGCACUCCGCCUGGGGAGUACGACCGCAAGGUUGAAACUCAAAGGAAUUGACGGGGACCCGCACAAGCGGUGGAGCAUGUGGUUUAAUUCGAAGCAACGCGAAGAACCUUACCAAAUCUUGACAUCCUUUGACCGCUCUAGAGAUAGAGUCUUCCCCUUCGGGGGACAAAGUGACAGGUGGUGCAUGGUUGUCGUCAGCUCGUGUCGUGAGAUGUUGGGUUAAGUCCCGCAACGAGCGCAACCCUUAAGCUUAGUUGCCAUCAUUAAGUUGGGCACUCUAGGUUGACUGCCGGUGACAAACCGGAGGAAGGUGGGGAUGACGUCAAAUCAUCAUGCCCCUUAUGAUUUGGGCUACACACGUGCUACAAUGGAUAAUACAAAGGGCAGCGAAUCCGCGAGGCCAAGCAAAUCCCAUAAAAUUAUUCUCAGUUCGGAUUGUAGUCUGCAACUCGACUACAUGAAGCUGGAAUCGCUAGUAAUCGUAGAUCAGCAUGCUACGGUGAAUACGUUCCCGGGUCUUGUACACACCGCCCGUCACACCACGAGAGUUUGUAACACCCGAAGCCGGUGGAGUAACCUUUUAGGAGCUAGCC
rnacentral:rRNA from 1 species